rnacentral:tRNA from 1 species
GGCCCCGACGAACUCGGCCGUCUCCGUCCCGCGUACGGCUCAUAACCGGGAGGCCCCGGGUUCAAAUCCCGGCGGGCCCA